AAUAGAUACCCCGGUAGUCCACGCCGUAAACGGUGGGCACUAGGUGUGGGCGACAUUCCACGUCGUCCGUGCCGCAGCUAACGCAUUAAGUGCCCCGCCUGGGGAGUACGGCCGCAAGGCUAAAACUCAAAGGAAUUGACGGGGGGCCCGCACAAGCGGCGGAGCAUGUGGCUUAAUUCGACGCAACGCGAAGAACCUUACCAAGGCUUGACAUACAUCGGAAACGUCCAGAGAUGGGCGCCCCCUUGUGGUCGGUGUACAGGUGGUGCAUGGCUGUCGUCAGCUCGUGUCGUGAGAUGUUGGGUUAAGUCCCGCAACGAGCGCAACCCUUGUCCCGUGUUGCCAGCAGGCCCUUGUGGUGCUGGGGACUCACGGGAGACCGCCGGGGUCAACUCGGAGGAAGGUGGGGACGACGUCAAGUCAUCAUGCCCCUUAUGUCUUGGGCUGCACACGUGCUACAAUGGCCGGUACAAUGAGCUGCGAUACCGCGAGGUGGAGCGAAUCUCAAAAAAGCCGGUCUCAGUUCGGAUUGGGGUCUGC
rnacentral:rRNA from 1 species